GAUGAAGAACGUAGCGAAAUGCGAUAAGUAAUGCGAAUUGCAGAAUUUCCGUGAGUCAUCGAAUCUUUGAACGCACAUUGCGCCCACUGGUAUUCCGGUGGGCAUGCCUGUUCGAGCGUCAUUAUCCUCCCUCAAACCCCGGGUUUGGUGUUGGACCCAAGUUGUGUGAACAACUGGUCUCAAAGACAAUGACGGCGUCCGUGGACCCUCGGUGCAACGAGCUUUUAGGAGCACGCAUCGAGUUGCAAGGACCUUCCGGGCCGGCCUCCUUUACCAUUUUACAAGGUUGACCUCGGAUCAGGUAGGAAUACCCGCUGAACUUAAGCAUAUCAAUAAGCGGAGGA
rnacentral:misc_RNA from 1 species